rnacentral:sRNA from 1 species
CCUUGUCCUAGUGUGUGCCACUAUCUGGAUUUACACUGUGCUGGGAAUCAAAGCCAAUCACCCAAAGCAAGCAGGCUGUGAAUAUACAGAAAGGCUCAUGACAUCACUGAAUGUCAAAACAUGUGGCAAAGAGUAUGUGCUGAAACGCGGACUACACAAAACACAUUUCGGAAUAUGUCAACUAUUAUACCCAGGAAGAAAUGGUUUCAAUAAAGCAUGUCAUUUUGAGGGCUUUGCCCUUGUCUCUCAGAAUGAAUUAAGUCACUUCCAUGGUAUGCAGAGAGAUCUGGUGAUCUGGCCCUGCAAAUCAUCAAAAAUAAUUGACUGAAAAUGUAAUUCUUGGAGCGUAAUUACAUCUACCCUGGCAGCUGCAGCUCCCAGUGGAGAGGAGAGAGCACCGAGAAGUUUACCCUAAGCAGUC